rnacentral:rRNA from 1 species
GAUGAACGCUGGCGGCGUGCUUAACACAUGCAAGUCGAACGGAAAGGCCACAGCUUGCUGUGGUACUCGAGUGGCGAACGGGUGAGUAACACGUGGGUGAUCUGCCCUGUACUUCGGGAUAAGCUUGGGAAACUGGGUCUAAUACCGGAUAGGAAUCACAUGUGGGUGUGUGGUUGGAAAGCUUUUGCGGUAUGGGAUGAGCUCGCGGCCUAUCAGCUUGUUGGUGGGGUAUUGGCCUACCAAGGCGUCGACGGGUAGCCGGCCUGAGAGGGUGUACGGCCACAUUGGGACUGAGAUACGGCCCAGACUCCUACGGGAGGCAGCAGUGGGGAAUAUUGCACAAUGGGCGCAAGCCUGAUGCAGCGACGCCGCGUGGGGGAUGACGGCCUUCGGGUUGUAAACUCCUUUCGUCAGGGACGAAGCGAAAGUGACGGUACCUGGAUAAGAAGCACCGGCUAACUACGUG